GUCGUUACAAGGUUCGUUGGGGGUUGGAGGGUAGUGGUUAUGGGGGAAAGAGGCGUUGGAUGGUUGUGCUGCGAUGGAGGGUGAGAGAAAUUGGUGAAAUGCUCUCAUCUCUCUGCCAAAAAAUUGAUCACGACACCCACCUUAUCCUAGUCUCCCUAGCCAAACACCCACCCUAUCGCAACCCAUCCAAACGCCCUCAUCUACCUUAUCGCAACCCACCAUCUCUUCCACGACCCAACACACUCCGGCAACUAGCCUUCAUAGCCCUAAC
rnacentral:lncRNA from 1 species